UCGUAUCGAACGCUCUGAAGGACCCGUUGACGUUGUAUUGAUUUGUCUUCUUGUAGCUUAUCUGGGCGUCAUCAGUUCCAUUUGCCAAGCCAAUUCAAGCCCUGCUGUUGUGAAGCACUACUACUGGGUUUAGAACUAUUUUAUGCGUCUGAGAUUGCCGAAGCAUCGCCCCAUCUGUCGGAGCUAAAGUCAGGGCGAGUUCGCGAGCUUGUCAGAGUUGCAGGUGUGAUCGGAGCCGAACAGAGGCUGUGAAGCAAAUUGCUUGCAGUGCUCACAUGGUGGGGAGUGGACCUUGGCCUGCGGACUUGAUGUAGACAUACACAUUUUACUCAGAUAAUAAAACUCAUGCAGAGGAUCCUAUUUAAACUGUAUUAAGUACCUAUUAUAAGAAGAGUAAGACAAUGGCAUUGAGAGUAUCACCGUUACGUUAUCUUUGGAGGAACUAUCUGAUGAUUGGAGAGUGUUGCUACUAGGUUUUUGGUGCUUCACUUUUGUUGUUCGAUGUUUCUGCGACUGGUGUCUUCAAGUACUCAAAGGGUUAUUGAGCAACGUCGAGGACGAUACACAAGAGGUGGAGAAUACUGACGAAAUCGACAUCGGCUCUAGGUUUGAUUUGUUACCAGUAGAAAAUCUGAAUUUUUAGGUGAUUCCUCCGCGCCGCAUUUUGUGAAGGUAUUUCCUUUUUAUGGUAGAUUGUGAGGAAUUCCAUCCAAGAUGAGAGUUUAUGCAGUUAGAAAGGGUUUUGUACGUGGCAUAUAUACCUCAUGGGGCGAUUGUGAACGCCAAGUAGAAGACUACAGCGAGGCAGAUUUCAGAUGUUUUAGAACUCAAGAAGAGGCAGUUAGAUUUUUGAAGAAUUAGUUUGAGCUUGUAGUUGUAAUUGGAGCGGCGAUGGCUUGAUAUAGAUUGAGUCUCUCAAUUGUUCCAAGAGGGACGUAUCGAGUGGUUUCGUUAGUGUGUCUGCAUGCUGUUGUUGAGUGGGUAUGUAGUCAAUAAUGACUUUGCCGCUUUGGCAUUUUUCUCUAAUAAAGUGAUAUUGGAUCUCAA